rnacentral:lncRNA from 1 species
UGGGAAAAGAUGAACUAAACAAGCCUUAUAUUCGUCGUCGAAUCAUUCAGGGAGCGUUACACGGAGUAAGUACAUAUAUUGUGAUUGGAGUAUCACCAUCACCGGAAUUUAAUGACAAGAUAUAAUGCACGAACAGACCUCUCCAAACAAAGAGGACGAACACAAGUACACAACAAAAUCCAACCCAGAGGUGCAAACGCUCACAAUCCCUAACGAUCUGAGACACCAUGUAGAUAGAGCUUGAGACCUCGAGUGAUACAACUGCAGAAAACGCGUGCCGACGUAUCACUAUCAGUGGUGGCCACCAAUGCCUCCGCCGCCACCGCUACCGUUGCCGAAUCCGAAGCCGAAACCCUUGCCGAAGCCGCCGCCGCCGCUGCCGCCACCACCACCGUAACCACCUCCGCCGCCAAGAUCACCGCCCUUGCCGAAGCCGCCACCGACGCCGUGGCCGAUCCCACCGCCAAGGCCGCCGCCCUUGCCGAAGCCGCCCCCGACGCCGUGGCCGAUCCCACCGCCAAGGCUGCCGCCCUUGCCGAAGCCGCCCCCGACGCCGUGGCCGAUCCCACCGCCAAGGCCGCCGCCCUUGCCGUAGCCUCCACCGAUGCCAUGGCCGAUGCCGCCGCCGAGCCCGCCACCCUUGCCGUACCCGCCGCCGAGACCGCCGCCCUUUCCGUAGCCACCACCUUCGCCGCCGCCGAUGCCGGGGCCAACGUCGCCGCCAAGGCCACCGCCUUGCCCGUAGCCGCCACCGAUCCCAUGGUCGAUUCCUCCGCCGAGGCCGCCACCCUUCCCGUAGCCACCGCCCAUGCCGUGGCCUAUCCCGCCUCCAAGCCCGCCACCUUUGCCGUACCCACCGCCAACGCCAUGGCCGAUCCCGCCGCCAAGGCCUCCACCUUUGCCAUACCCGCCACCGAUGCCAUGGCCGAGGCCACCACCCUUGCCGAACCCACCGCC